rnacentral:lncRNA from 1 species
CUCAAAUCUUUUGCAUGAUUCAGUUAAAAAAAAAAAAGAAAAACCACAAAAGAGUGCUUAAGAAAAUCAGGCUUAGAAAAGUUAGAGUGCUGUAGAAAUGUUUAUAUAAUAGUGGGAAAACGCAUUUUAGGAGUUUUUAUAUUUAACUUGUGUAAUUUUAUACAGUAUGCAACAUGUCCACAAAAGCUUUAACAUCUUGAACAUAUUUUGUAUUUCACACUAAAUCAGAGAGCACACAAGCGGCUGCAGUGUUUUUAUUUGCACUUGUAGCUUUGAAGUCUUCUUCCUGCUUCGAGGCGAGGUACAAGAUAUAGAGUAAGGGUUUUCACCAAGCCUCACACAAGUCUGAAGGAUAUAAGAGCAGUACAUUAUGACCUAGCUGCUGUAGGUUUUGGUGUUUUUAGAACUAAAAAAAGCCAUGACGAACUUGGCGUGCCUUCUCAUGUUCAUUCAUCUCUUUGAAGUCUAUGCAGAAUUGAACUUGACGCAUCUGACAGAGAACCAGUCACUGGAGCUCUCCUGCUCCCUUCAACGGGACCUCGGCAGCCUGAGUGCCUUCAGCCUUUACCACCGCAGUGCCCAGAGCCAGACGACCGUGCUGUCCAUGGCUGAGGGAGGCAAACUAAGGGUCAACUCAGACCACAGGGGGCGUCUGCAGCUCCGUGGAGGUCUGGACUCCCCGCAGGUCAACGUGACCAUUUCCCACUUACAGCACAGUGACACAGGACUCUACUUGUUGGAGCUGAGCUACAAGAACAACAACUCUGAUGCCACCUUCAUUGCCCAAAGGGUUUUCCUGUUGGUGGAAGGAGCAGGGAUUCGGUCAUGCUACUGCUCUCGCGGUUACCUUCCUCUGCUCUUGACCAUCUUUACAGCAGCAGGGCUUCUUUUGUUGACACUCAGCUGGCUGGCCAUAGAGAAGUGUGCGAAGCAUCGUCACAGACCAUCACUUCCUGCCCCUAUCUAUGAGGAAAUGACCAGGAAGCAACAGAGUGCAGAAAUCCCCCAAAAUAACCAUGAGGCACCGUCACAUCUGGAGGAAGUCCACUUUCCUGUGUAUGCUAACCCCAGCAUCCGACAACCACAAGACAAUUACUAUGCCUGCCCUAGACAGCUGGCCCUCAGAGCUUGA